GGGCAGUGCGUCUGGACCUUUCAGCGAACCGCUUCUGCACGGGAAUCUCCAUUAGGUUCAGAGCUGGGCAUGGAGUGUGAGGACAGAGCAGGAAAGCAGUCGUGAGCAGGCCGGAAGGAGGAGCCUCACCAGAACCCUACCAGGUACCACCCUGAUCUUGGACUUCCAGCCUCCAGAACUGUGACAAGAUGGAAAGCUGAGCCCUGGAGAGGCGAAGCAUUGAGCUGUCUUCUCUGGAACCAAGUCCCCAGCGCUUCCUCACAUGAGCUGGGUCA